rnacentral:rRNA from 1 species
GUUGAUAAGGUUAAGUGAAUAAGGGCGCACGGUGGAUGCCUUGGCACUAGGAGCCGAUGAAGGACGGGACUAACACCGAUAUGCUUUGGGGAGCUGUACGUAAGCUAUGAUCCAGAGAUUUCCGAAUGGGGGAACCCAACAUCUUUAAUAGGAUGUUACGAUUGUGUGAAUACAUAGCACAUUCGAGGUAGACGCAGAGAACUGAAACAUCUAAGUACCUGCAGGAAGAGAAAGAAAAUUCGAUUCCCUGAGUAGCGGCGAGCGAAACGGGAAAAGCCCAAACCAGCAAGCUUGCUUGUUGGGGUUGUAGGACUCCAAUAUGGUAGUUCUUUCAGAUAGUCGAAUGACUUGGAAAAGUCAGUCAAAGAGGGUAAAAACCCCGUAGACGAAAUGUGGAAGACACCUAGGAGGAUCCUGAGUACGGCGGAACACGAGAAAUUCCGUCGGAAUCCGGGAGGACCAUCUCCCAAGGCUAAAUACUCCCUAGUGACCGAUAGUGAACCAGUACCGUGAGGGAAAGGUGAAAAGCACCCCGGAAGGGGAGUGAAAUAGAACCUGAAACCGUGUGCCUACAACAAGUCAAAGCCCGUUAAUGGGUGAUGGCGUGCCUUUUGUAGAAUGAACCGGCGAGUUACGAUUGCAUGCGAGGUUAAGUUGAAGAGACGGAGCCGCAGCGAAAGCGAGUCUGAAUAGGGCGUUUGAGUAUGUAGUCGUAGACCCGAAACCAUGUGAUCUACCCAUGUCCAGGUUGAAGGUGCGGUAAAACGCACUGGAGGACCGAACCCACGUACGUUGAAAAGUGCGGGGAUGAGGUGUGGGUAGCGGAGAAAUUCCAAACGAACUUGGAGAUAGCUGGUUCUCUCCGAAAUAGCUUUAGGGCUAGCCUCGGAAUUGAGAAUGAUGGAGGUAGAGCACUGUUUGGACUAGGGGCCCAUCUCGGGUUACCGAAUUCAGAUAAACUCCGAAUGCCAUUCAUUCAUAUCCGGGAGUCAGACUGUGAGUGAUAAGAUCCAUAGUCGAAAGGGAAACAGCCCAGACCACCAGCUAAGGUCCCAAAAUAUAUGUUAAGUGGAAAAGGAUGUGGGGUUGCACAGACAACUAGGAUGUUGGCUUAGAAGCAGCCACCAUUUAAAGAGUGCGUAAUAGCUCACUAGUCGAGUGACCCUGCGCCGAAAAUGUACCGGGGCUAAACAUAUUACCGAAGCUGUGGAGUACACCUUUAGGUGUAUUGGUAGGAGAGCGUUCUAAGGGCGUUGAAGGCAGAUCGUGAGGACUGCUGGAGCGCUUAGAAGUGAGAAUGCCGGUAUGAGUAGCGAAAGACAGGUGAGAAUCCUGUCCACCGAAUGACUAAGGUUUCCUGGGGAAGGCUCGUCCGCCCAGGGUUAGUCGGGACCUAAGCCGAGGCCGACAGGCGUAGGCGAUGGAUAACAGGUUGAUAUUCCUGUACCCGUUGUUUUUGUUUGAGCAAUGGAGGGACGCAGGAGGCUAAGGAAUGCAGACGAUCGGAAAUGUCUGUCCAAGCAGUAAGUCUGAAGAGGAGUCAAAUGCUUCUUUUCUUAAGGACAAGCUGUGAUGGGGAGGGAAAUAAUAGUACCGAAGUUCCUGAUGUCACACUGCCGAGAAAAGCUUCUAGUGAGAAAACAGCGGCCCGUACCGCAAACCGACACAGGUAGUCGAGGAGAGAAUCCUAAGGUGAGCGAGAGAACUCUCGUUAAGGAACUCGGCAAAAUGACCCCGUAACUUCGGGAGAAGGGGUGCUGAUCAUACGAUCAGCCGCAGUGAAUAGGCCCAAGCGACUGUUUAUCAAAAACACAGGUCUCUGCAAAAUCGUAAGAUGAAGUAUAGGGGCUGACGCCUGCCCGGUGCUGGAAGGUUAAGAGGA